AGCAGCCGCGGUAAUUCCAGCUCCAAUAGCGUAUAUUAAAGUUGUUGCAGUUAAAAAGCUCGUAGUUGAAUUUCGGGGUUAGUAGGUUGGUCAUGCCUCUGGUAUGUACUGAUCUCACUGAUUCCUCCUUCCUUAUGAACCGUAAUGCCAUUAAUUUGGUGUUGCGGGGAAUUUGGACUGUUACUUUGAAAAAUUGAGUGUUUAAAGCAGGCUAACGCUUGAAUACAUUAGCAUGGAAUAAUGAAAUAGGACGUUCGAUCUUAUUUUGUUGGUUUCUAGGAUUGACGUAAUGAUUAAUAGGGAUAGGUUGGGGCAU
rnacentral:rRNA from 1 species